rnacentral:rRNA from 1 species
GACGAACCGUGCGAACGUUGUUCGGAAUCACUGGGCUUAAAGGGCGCGUAGGCGGGCUUACAAGUCAGGGGUGAAAUCCCACGGCUCAACCGUGGAAGUGCCUUUGAUACUGUAGGUCUCGAGGGAGGUAGGGGCGAGCGGAACUUCCGGUGGAGCGGUGAAAUGCGUAGAUAUUGGAAGGAACACCGAUGGCGAAAGCAGCUCGCUGGACCUCUUCUGACGCUGAGGCGCGAAAGCCAGGGGAGCAAACGGG